rnacentral:rRNA from 1 species
AUGGUGAUGGUCGCUCUACAGAGACUCCCCUCAUGGCUUUCAUCGAUAGUGUUGAUGCACAUCACUCCCACGCGCUUGGUGUUUGUGUGCCUACGACGCUGUCUCCUCCAUCAACUUCUACCACUGGUAUUUGUCGUGCUACACCGCCUCCUCUUGCGGCCCCUCAUGGCUUUCAUCGAUAGUGUUGAUGCACAUCACUCCCACGCGCUUGGUGUUUGUGUGCCUACGACGCUGUCUCCUCCAUCGACUUCUACCAUUGGUAUUUGUCGUGCUACACCGCCUCCUCUUGCGGCUCACAUAGGUGGUGGUGGUGGCCACUCCUCUUUUGGUGAUUCUACGUCGACCACUUCAGCGGUAUCCUUCACCGCGCAGGAGCUUGGACAACUUCGACACCUACUUAUUGCUUCUGGUUUUUCAUCGCCCGAUGCUUCUUCGUCGACCUCUUCAGUUAAACCACUAACUAUGCCGAAGAUUAUGAGACUUCAGUGUCUGUUAGAUGCUUCUUUUGGCUCUCCAUCAACAGUUUUGUAG